UCCCCGCAGCAGGCAUCUCCCCUCCCCUCCCGCCGCCGCCGCCGCCGCCGCAACCACGGCGGUCUGCACGAACGAAGUCGAUCUGUUUAUUGUGCAAUAUGAUCUGAUCAACUGGGGAAAUGGUAUGGCGGUGAUGAUAAAUUUAAGGCUUGUUUCUCAAAACAUUUGCAGUUGCCGCCCAAGAGCUUUCGCCCAGCCAGGCUCGAGAGCUAGUGCUGCUAAUUCCUUCCUUGGAUGUCUGAGCCUUGUUAACAUCCCCAUUUAUGUUUCAGUUUUAUUAGUCUGUGGUCUGCACUGGUUGGUUUUUUGCAUAGCAAGUGAAGAUGAAGGCUUGAUUACAUUUUUGCUAAGGCUGGAACCAUCAUUUUGUUUAGUGAUUGAUUGUUGAAAAGCAAUGGUGAAGUGUUUGUUGCUUGGAUAUGGAUAGACUUUGGGUCACGGAUGCAUUUUGUAUUUUUGUUGUAUAUAUUUAUAAUGGGUUUGAGUCCUUUAGCUCUGUUUUUCUCAAGCCUGAAUUUUAUCUGUCAACGUAUAUUCUGUAUUUUUUGGAAGCAAAUCCGAACUGAUCCCUGUGAUGUGUCCAUGAA